UACAUAUAAUUACAGUAUAUUUCUUACCAUGUAUCAUGAUCAAAAGUGUUUGAAACCUUCCAACAAGCUGCAUUGAAGAGACACUGCUUGAAAGAUUCCUGAGCCUGGGUCACAGACACUUUGGAGCCAGUGGGAAAGUAGGGAGUGUCUCUAGGGAACACAGAUAUGCCCAAUAUUUUGCACACAAUGUUGAUAGUCCACAGACUUUGCAGCCCAUCCACAGACCCUGGUCAAAUUCUCUAACCUGGAGAUUAAGGUCAGGAGGGAGAAAGGGAGACAGAGGAGAGAGCAAGGCUCAUGCAUUAGUCAGAUUUUCCAUUACUGGGACAAAAUAUUUGACACCCACAACUUAAAGGGUAAAAGGGUAACUCAUGACUUGUGCUUUCAGAGGUUUCAGUCCAUGGUUGGCUGGCUUCAGGGCAGAAACAUCAUGGCAUAAAGUGUAAGGAAGCAACCUGUUCAUCUCAUUGCCACCAAGAAGCAGAGAAAGAGGGGAAGAGCCAAAGGAAAUUAUACCCUUCCAAGGCACAUUCCCAGGGACCUACAUCCUCCAACCAGGCUCCACCUCCUCAGAGCAGUUCCGCUAUGAAGUCAUCAAUGGGUUCAUCCACUGAUGAGCUUAGUGCCCCCUGAUCCAGUCACCUUCCAAAAGCCCCACCUGUGAACACAUGAGCCUUUUAGGGGAAACUUUUGAUCCAAACCAUAAGUCUGGCUCCUGGAGCCUUACAUUUCUGAUGAGAACUAGGCCAUCCAUCUCCCGGGGCAUCCUCGAGGCCUCCAAGGACAAGGAGUUCCUGAUCCAGUUCGAAUUUUGGGAAGAGUAUGCUGGGAACUCUCAGAUGCCAGGACUCCAUGCGGUGGCCUUGUCACAGACAUGUGGUAUGGUAGAAGACUGUAGAUGGGGCACAGUUGGGAGAAGUUUUCAAGGGAAAUCAAGAAACCCCCGAUCGACAGAUUUUUCCACAGCUCGGACACUGACAUUGCAGCUUCAAACAUGGACUUAUCUGUAG
rnacentral:lncRNA from 1 species